rnacentral:tRNA from 1 species
GCAUUUGUGGUUCAGUGGUAGAAUUCUUGUCUUCCAUGCAGAAGACCCGGGUUCAACCCCCAGUCAAUGCA